GUGGGGAAUCUUCCGCAAUGGACGAAAGUCUGACGGAGCAACGCCGCGUGAGUGAAGAAGGUUUUCGGAUCGUAAAGCUCUUUCGUUAGGGACGAACGUGCUCUUUGUGAAUAAUGAGGAGUAAUGACGGUACCUAAAUAAGAAGCCACGGCUAACUACGUGCCAGCAGCCGCGGUAAUACGUAGGUGGCAAGCGUUGUCCGGAAUUAUUGGGCGUAAAGCGCGCGCAGGCGGGAUAUCAAGUCUGUCUUAAAAGUGCGAGGCUCAACCUCGUGAGGGGACAGAAACUGGUAUUCUUGAGUGUCGGAGAGGAAAGUGGAAUUCCAAGUGUAGCGGUGAAAUGCGUAGAGAUUUGGAAGAACACCAGUGGCGAAGGCGACUUUCUGGACGAUGUCUGACGCUGAGGCGCGAAAGCUAGGGGAGCGAACGGGAUUAGAAAACCUUGUAGUCC
rnacentral:rRNA from 1 species